GACGAACGCUGGCGGCGUGCUUAACACAUGCAAGUCGAGCGGUAAGGCCCUUUCGGGGGUACACGAGCGGCGAACGGGUGAGUAACACGUGGGUGACCUGCCUUUAGCUCUGGGAUAAGCCUGGGAAACUGGGUCUAAUACCGGAUACGACUCCGCGGUGCAUGCUGUGGGGUGGAAAGCCUUGUGCGGCUGGAGAUGGGCCCGCGGCCUAUCAGCUUGUUGGUGGGGUGAUGGCCUACCAAGGCGACGACGGGUAGCCGGCCUGAGAGGGCGACCGGCCACACUGGGACUGAGACACGGCCCAGACUCUUACGGGAGGCAGCAGUGGGGAAUCUUGCGCAAUGGGCGAAAGCCUGACGCAGCGACGCCGCGUGAGGGAUGACGGCCUU
rnacentral:rRNA from 1 species